UUACGACCUCAGCUCA
rnacentral:rRNA from 1 species